AUGAACGCUGGCGGCGUGCCUAAUCCAUGCCAGUCGAGCGAACAGACGAGGAGCUUGCUCCUCUGACGUUAGCGGCGGACGGGUGAGUACACGUGGAUAACCUACCUAUAAGACUGGGAUAACUUCGGGAAACCGGAGCUAAUACCGGAUAAUAUAUUGAACCGCAUGGUUCAAUAGUGAAAGACGGUUUUGCUGUCACUUAUAGAUGGAUCCGCGCCGCAUUAGCUAGUUGGUAAGGUAACGGCUUACCAAGGCAACGAUGCGUAGCCGACCUGAGAGGGUGAUCGGCCACACUGGAACUGAGACACGGUCCAGACUCCUACGGGAGGCAGCAGUAGGGAAUCUUCCGCAAAGGGCGAAAGCUUGACGGAGCAACGCCGCGUGAGUGAUGAAGGUCUUCGGAUCGUAAAACUCUGUUAUUAGGGAAGAACAAAUGUGUAAGUAACUAUGCACGUCUUGACGGUACCUAAUCAGAAAGCCACGGCUAACUACGUG
rnacentral:rRNA from 1 species